rnacentral:lncRNA from 1 species
AUAUCUCAAAUUGCAAAAUAUUGCGACCCAAGGAAUAAGAUAGGCACUGAAUAAUAUCUUAAGGCAGAUAAAUCCCAAAUCACAGCUUUUAUGUGUGACCCAAGACAACAAAUAGUGCAGCUUUUAAUGAAAGCUACUACUGCAGCUUUUUAUGAAAGCUACUACUUUGUGUAUGAAAUGACAAGCAAGGCAAAAUGAAAAAGGACAGAACUGGGAC